rnacentral:rRNA from 1 species
AUUGAACGCUGGCGGCAUGCCUUACACAUGCAAGUCGAACGGCAGCACGGGUGCUUGCACCUGGUGGCGAGUGGCGAACGGGUGAGUAAUACAUCGGAACGUACCUUAUCGUGGGGGAUAACGCAGCGAAAGCUGUGCUAAUACCGCAUACGCCCUGAGGGGGAAAGCGGGGGAUCGAAAGACCUCGCGCGAUUAGAGCGGCCGAUGCCUGAUUAGCUUGUUGGUGGGGUAAAAGCCCACCAAGGCGACGAUCAGUAGCUGGUCUGAGAGGACGAUCAGGCACACUGGGACUGAGACGCGGCCCAGACUUCUACGGGAGGCAGCAGUGGGGAAUUUUGGACAAUGGGGGCAACCCUGAUCCAGCAAUGCCGCGUGAGUGAAGAAGGCCUUCGGGUUGUAAAGCUCUUUUGUCAGGGAAGAAACACCGGCUCUAACACAGUCCGGGAAUGACGGUACCUGAAGAAUAAGCACCGGCUAACUACGUGCCAGCAGCCGCCGUAA